GAACGCACAUUGCGCCCGCCAGUAUUCUGGCGGGCAUGCCUGUUCGAGCGUCAUUUCAACCCUCAAGCCCCAGUGGCCUGGUGUUGGGGACCGGCGACCUCGCCCGGGGGAACACCCCCGGCGCGUCCGCCGCCCCCGAAAUGAAUUGGCGGCCCCGUCGCGGCCUCCUCUGCGUAGUAGCACAACCUCGCAGCGGGAGCGCGACGCGGCCACUGCCGUAAAACGCCCAACUUUUUUUAGAGUUGACCUCGGAUCAGGUAGGAAUACCCGCUGAACUUAAG
rnacentral:misc_RNA from 1 species